rnacentral:tRNA from 1 species
GGGGUUGUGGCUCAGAGGUAGAGCGCCUGCCUACCAUGCAUGGCACAGGGUUCGAUCCUCAGCACUG